GGGCUCAUGGUUUUGACCUCUCCUUGGUUUAUGAUCUGCUAUGACGAAAAAGGUGCCAUGAAACACCACAGAAAUGUUGAGAAUGCUUAUUACAAUAAGUAUGACUCGACAACAGUUCGCCCAAACUUUUCUUCAACAUCCUUGGGUGUCUCAAUCGCAUUUAGAGCUUUGAAGAGAGCCUUAACUGUGUUAUGUGGGUUCCUUGAGCCAACAACCUUCGAUUUCACAUUCCUGAAACCCGCUAGAUGCAAAAUUGUUUGGACAGUUCUACCUGCUUUCAUCCCUGUUUGAGUAGGAGCAGGCCACAGAUAUACCUUGGUCUUUUUGUAGUUCGUUUGAACUGCAUGUGAGAUUGUAUGUUCCUCAUGCCGUUCAACAUAAUGUAGGUUCUGGAAGCAUUUCUCAUAUGCCUUUUGCAGGGCAAUGGGAAUAGCUGGACCUUUUGCUUUUGCAAAACCAACAACUCCGUGAUAGUUCCCACAAGCCAACAAAGCAGUAUACUUGACAACUUGUCCCCCCUUAGUAACCUUACAUGUCCUAUUGACAUUAAUGAGUUUCACAUCAAAACCUUUUCUGUACUGAGGUCUUCUUUUCUUCUCUGUUAACGAGUUCCUCUCUUCAGCAAGAUCUCUGAUUUCCUCUUCUAAAAGCUUACCCUUUUUCCCAAAGGUGUGGUCCAAUUCAGCCAGCUUUUCUUCAAGUUUCCUGUCAAUGACAUUGAGCUUCUCUAACAAUAUAUCAUCCUUCUCUUUCAUGUCGUCAAACUCUACGUCGUCAUCAUCAUCUCCUCCUUGAAUCAUCCCCUUUUCCUUUUCAAACCCAGCAUGUUCUAAGAGAUCUACAGAGGGUCCCACCUGCUGAUGUUGAAUGAGUCCGUAAUUCUCUGGGUCGUUGGGAUCAUAAGCUUCCCUCCACUGCACCAUUCGCAUGGCUCUAUUCACCUUCUGCUGCAGAAGAAAUUUUUCCUUACCCUCAGACACUUUAAGGCGGUUCAUCAGUUCACCAAUCACCCGAUACUCUGGUCUCAGUCGGAAAUGCUUUUCCUCAAACUUGUCAAUUCUAUUCAUCCAUUUGUAUGCAUCAUCAAGUGUCUCUGCAUCAGUGAAGUUCUUGAGAAGCUCUUCAUGUCGUUAAAACUUCUUAUUAAAAACUUCCCAUUUUUUGUUAAUAGCAUCAGG
rnacentral:misc_RNA from 1 species